AGCCAGCAGCCGCGGUAAUACGUAGGGGGCGAGCGUUGUCCGAAUUUACUGGGCGUAAAGCGCGCGUAGGCGGUUUCUUAAGUCUGGGGUGAAAGGUUCAACGCUCAACGUGAACAGUGCCUUGGAUACUGGGAGACUUGAGUCUGGGAGGGGGCAGUGGAAUUCCUGGUGUAGCGGUGAAAUGCGUAGAUAUCAGGAGGAACACCGGUGGCGAAGGCGGCUGCCUGGCCUAAGACUGACGCUGAGGUGCGAAAGCGUGGGUAGCGAACGGGAUUAGAUACCCCGGUAGUCCACGCCGUAAACGAUGAGUGCUAGGUGUAGGGGGUAUCGACCCCCCCUGUGCCGUCGCCAACGCAUUAAGCACUCCGCCUGGGGAGUACGGCCGCAAGGUUGAAACUUAAAGAAAUUGACGGC
rnacentral:rRNA from 1 species